AUAUAAAUGCUUGGAGUCAUCGCUACCUGUUAGAUGUUCUAGAAGUCAAUAUGGCUGACACAUUGUAAUAUAACUAGGACACAAUUUUAUACUUAAUACAUUGAUUUGAUCAAUAAAAGGACAAGUUUAUUUUUCAUUCAAGUGUGAUGUAUCCUUGAAUUGUCCAUGGAAUUAACAUUUUGAUAUAUAUUCUCAAAGUAUUGAGAAUUAGAGACAUGUAUAUAAUUCCUAAAUACUCUCAAUCAUAGUAUCAUCAUGAGGACGG
rnacentral:lncRNA from 1 species